AAAACUGUUCAUCAUAAUAUUUCAGUAAUUAAUUGUUUUUAUACAACAUCUUUUAUUAGACAGCUUGGCUCAGAUUGUCAACAUAAUGGGUAAAACUUGCUGCAAAUUUGUUCGAGAACAACCUUCGGAGAAAUACACUCUCUUGACGGAAGAGGAUGUGACUGAUGAAUUAUUGAGUCAAUCUCAGAUUUCUGUCCAAUGUAAGGAGAACCCCGAGGGUCGAGAUGGAAUGGUGGUAUUUGACAUGGAAGCCUUUCCCAUGGUCAACAUCCUCUGUGGAGAAGAUCUUCCUAAAGUCAAAAUAAACAACAGUAGCUUUCUGCAGAUCUGAAUUUGAAAGCUUCACAUCAAUUUUGUCAUGGAAAUGUCUUGACAUUUUGAAUAAUUAAAAAU